rnacentral:lncRNA from 1 species
UGGAGGCCAAGGAGGUUCUCCUCUCGGACAUGCAAACAAUAAUUACGGAUGACACCAACGUGCAGACUAUAAGUCCCCCUCAAUCCCGAUAUAGUUGUGUCACACACUCUGCAUUUACAUUAUUAGUAUGUAAUAGAUUCUGAAAGUUGAUUCAAGUUUGUAGUGCUUCAAAUCUGAAAGUCGAUAGAGUAAUUUGUCAAUUGAUUUGUACUGUAGUGCUUCAAGACUGAUUGCUCCGUGUUUGAUUCAUGUCUCAAAGUUGAUACAAUCAUUUUGUCAACUAAUUCCUGUUGUAGUGCUUCAAGUCUGAUUGGUCCCUGUUUGAUUGAAGUUUGGAAGUUGAUUGUUUGGUAGUAUUUUUAUUUUCUUCCGCUUUGGGAGUUUCUAUAGGUAUUAUUAAGUUGCUAUAGAUGUAUCAUGAGUUUGGAUAUCCACUUGCACUUCAAUGACGGUGCAGAGCUCAAGUAGAUGUUGAUGGAGGACAUGAGGGGAGGAGGAGGAGGGACUUCUCAAAUACAAAAUUUAUUAUCCAAAAAUAGACAAUCUAACCCGGUGCAACGCACGGGCACUUUUACUAGUGAGCAUCUACAAAAAUUCAGUGUUAAAAAAGACCAACGAAGUUCCUCCCCACCAUGAAAAAACUAUGCCUAUGAUCAUCAUAAACAUAAUCCGUCAUGUAUUUCCUCUUGCAAUAAAUAUUAAUCAACAUAAGCACAGAGGAUUCAGACAAUGGCAAGAAAUUGAAGUUAAUGGAUACAACAAAAUCAUAUGUCACAUAUGUGCACAGAGGAUUCAGACUGUCAUAAGCUUGGUUUGGACAUCUGCCACCUAUUUGCAGCAAAAAGGAGGACAUCUGCACAUGAACUGGUCAUCUUGUAACUCUUCCUGGGAUGUAUUGUCUCCUUCUGUACUGUCUCAAUCUCCGGUGCAUCCAACUCCUGAUCCAGAACUUGGCAAAGAUCCAUAACAACACUUUCAUGGACCUUUUGCCAAAGAUGUGCACGGAAAAUCUGAAUCAGAGAGAUCUUCAGGGUUGGAAUUUUAUCAUGCAUGAAUAUCCCAGUCAGAUCUAGCUGAACCUAGAAACCAACAUAUACGUUUGCACGAGCCGCCGCCCUGCUCAAAGUUUUGGGCGAAAAUCAUUCAGCUAACUUUUGAGAUUUAGACAACACCCGAGAGGCAUGGAGGAUCAAGCGAAAAACUGACUGAAUUGAGGCGAAUCUGAGACGGACGGGGAGUACGGACCUGCUUGCCGAGGAUGAGGAGGCCGGGGCUCUCCUGGAGCGCUAGGGCGCGGAGGAUCUUGGCAACGGCGAGCGAGAGGAGCGGGCGGGACGGGUCGGGUCGUGGAGGAUGUGGACGACGCGGUCGGCGCCCAUGGCGAGCGCGGUGCGGAGCGUGGCGCGGAGGAUCUUGGCGACGGCAAGCGGGAGGAUCUUGACGCACCUCGCCGGAGGACGGUGCCGGAGAGGAGCGUGCUCAUGGCCGCGGUGGAGAACGGGGCCGGAGAGAGGAUCCCGCGGUGGUGGCCGCGAUGGAGGACGGGGCCGGAGAGAGGAUCCCGCGAUGGUGGUCGCGGUGGAGGACACGGCCGUGCCCGUGCUCGUGGCCGCGGUGGAGGACGGGGUGGAUAAUGUGAGCUGGGGUGUUUUUUUAUAAAACUGAAACGUUUUUUGUUCACUCAAAUCAGGAGUGCGGGUUGAAUACCCAAUACAUCAAGGGCUUUUUUGCAAAAUGCCAUGACGGACGACCAGAAACCCUAUUUGCUUUAUUAUUAGGGAGAGAUUAAGUUGCUAUAGAUGUAUCAUGUGUUUGGAUAUCCACUUGCACUUCAAUGAUGGUGCAGAGCUCAAGUAGAUGUUGAUGGAGGACACGAGGGGAGGAGGAGGAGGGACUUCUCAAAUACAAAAUUUAUUAUCCAAAAAUAGACAAUCUAACCCGGUACAACGCACGGACACUUUUACUGAUGAGCAUUUACAAAAAUUCAGUGUUAAAAAAGACCAACGAAGUUCCUCCCCACCAUGAAAAAACUAUGCAUAUGAUCAUCAUAAGCGUAAUCCGUCAUGUAUUUCCUCCGUUACUAAAUAUAAGUCUUUCUAAAGAUUUUAAUAUUUCCUCCGUUCCUAAAUAUAAGUCUUUCUAAAGAUUUUAAUAUGAACUACAUAUGGAGUAGGGCGUUUUGAAGCUCUGCCUCCAUGGAGGCCUGUUUUUGAAACCCCCUAAAUUCAUCAAAAUUCCUAUUUUUGCAUUUUAAAAUAAUUUGAAAAAAUACGAAUAUACAUGAAGGCAUAACACACAUGUGUGCAAACUUUUAAAAUAAAAUACGUUGAAACGAGGUGUGCAAAAAAGACAAUUUUAUGGCUUUUUAACACAUGAUACUAUUCAUCCCAAAUGUCCAUGUAUUUGUUCUUUUUGCAUGUUCGCAUCUUAAGGUAUUUCAUCCUGAAUUUUCGCACAUAUAUACAUUUCAUCCUUGUAUACUUGCAUAUAUUUUUUAGAUUUUUUUGAAACAAAAAAUUUGAAUUUUGAUUUUUUCUAAAAUAAAGGGUGCCAUUGAACCCUAGCUCCAAAAGGCAUUUUCGCUACAUACGGAUGUAUAUAAACAUAUUUUAAAGUAUAGAUUCACUUAUUUUCCUCCUAGUUCAUAUUAAAAUCUUUAAAAAGACUUAUAUUUAGAAACGGAGGAAGUAGGUCAGUACGAGCAACCACAAACAGACCAUCAUUCUCAUCUUUAAGACAAACUUAUAAAUUACAUGGUCCACGCUGUUAGCAUCUCUCAUAACCUUGGCGAAUAGAAAUUCAGUAGGCGAAGCAUGACCGCACGCACCUGUUUCUUCAAAUUAACUAAGGCUGCCCGUCAAGGGAAUCACGACACAAAAACUAAUGAACAAACCCAAAUGACCAGUCUUAAGAAUAAUAAGGUUAGGCAAGGUAACCAAAAUAUAGAGGUCCGCUAGACAAGCAUGUAACCUGGGCGGAUCUACAUGGGCUGACCCUGAUGCACACAACUCAAAUUAGGCUAGCACUAUCACUACAUGGAACCAGGAAAAACAUAAGCACAGCAUCUAGUUUGAUGAUACUGUGAGAGGGGCUCAGAUUACUUGAUGAUCCAGUUUCUCUAGUGACCCAAAUGUGGCUGAUCUUAAGAUGGGACAAAAGUAAGGACAUCAAAUGUUCCACCCAAAUGUUGAAGACAUGUUAGGUUCUGUCUUAGUUAGAAAAUUACUACAGCAUGCAUAAGAUAUGUCAGCAUACGUAGGCGAGCAGAACCAGAAGUCCAUUUUAAUUUUUACCCAAACAAAAGUAUUACUGAAUAUGUGUUUGGUACCUUGCAAUCUUAAUGAUAAUGCAUGACAGUAAGAGAUAAAUUCUAAAAUCCCUCAAAUUGGCUCUUGAAGGUGUUCAAGUUGUGCCCAUCUCCUCCUUCAGACAACCAUGUUAAAUGGCACCUAAAUCAAAUAUAUUACACAAAGAAACUAAAUGAUUAUGUUUCUAGGGACGACCAAUAUUUCCCAGUUGCAACGAUGAGCAUUAACGACAGGUUAACGAUGAACUCACAACACACAAGGUCCAUGAUGCAUGGGACUCUUGAACAUCCUGUGGACUAAAACAAACAAACAAACACCGGAGAUACAAAGAAAAUACCACAACAGAGUCUAUCACACAUCUCUCACCAGUAAAACAGUAGCUAAGUAUAUAGUGCAUUUGCACGCACAGUUUAACCUGAAACCACCACGACAAACCAAGACAGUUUUUAAGGUAUCUGAAUUUUGCAAUGACCAACAGCCACAACUCAUACCCUGGCAAUUGCUAAGAACUCACCAGUCCUUCCAUACCAAACUCUACUGGACUGGUACAUCCAGAGUGGCACCAAAACAAUUUUAGUUUCAAAAUCAGAUGAAUGAACUCAGCACAUGUUAUAAUUUCCUUUCUUUUGAUUGAUAGGCACUGCCCUAUAGACCACAUAUAGGUGAUACGGCUUUUCAGGACCACGAAAGCAGAUAUCCAGACACCAAGAAGGAAGCUAAUUUUUUUGUCAUAAAACAUUCAGGUAACACAACAUCUAGCAUGUCAUACUCAGAAGUUGAGCAACUGAUAUCAUGAAACAUGUCUGCGACACAUGGACCAGUAAGUAACAUGACUACUUGUUCUUCCCGGUCUUCUUCUUACCCCCGGUGGUUGCUGGUGCGCUGCUGAUCUGCGGGCGGGGGUGGCGAUCAGCCUCGGCGGCGUCGAGCCACUUGAGCGGGUGCCGGUUGAAGAAGGGCCAGUUGGGGACGGUGACGAGCGCCGUGAGGACCACCCCACCGGCGUACACGAGCAGCAUGAGCUGGAAGUCGGCCAUCGCGUACCCGACCAGGAACGCCGCCACCGCUGACGCCACCAGCAGCACCUGCAUCAGCAUCUCCGCGCUCUUCUGCCCCCUGCCAAUCCAUCUAGGCACCAAGAAAGGAGAGGACGGGGUCAGGUGGUUCGAUUGGUCCAAGAAAAGGGGCGGAUCGUGGAUGGAUCUGGGGCGCCGGGACGUGGUUUCCCCGGAUCCAUGUCAACAUAAGAGGAAUUCUUGCAGGAUUAUGGGUGGAGAAGAGGAGGACGAGGAUGACGGGUGCGGGCAAUUACCUUGCUUGCCGCCUUGCCGCCGCGCUGGAGUCGCCGGAGGGGAAGAGGACCGUGAUGUGGAGUAGGGAGAUCUGUUGUGCGUCCGGAGCGCCUCCGCCUGCCUAUCGGAAAUAGGUGCGUCUAGGUGCAGAGGGGAUGAAUUCGACGCUGGGAAAAUCCUAUUUGUCGCUUGAUGCGGCGAAUAGUUGUACAAACGCACAUGCAUAGGCCAAUUGGGGAGGCCCAGCAACUCCAACCCAGCGAUCCAGAUUAAAACGGAUUUUGUCCGUCUUUUAUCCAUUUGUAUCGGUUUAUUUUACAGUUUUUUAUUUUGAGUAGUACUUUAUUAAAAAAACAAGAGUUGUCGGUGCUUCCGCAGUCGCAAUCAAAACAGUGGCGUCGCGACCUGCCCGAGGAUCGUCGGCUCUUUGUCGCCGCCAACGCCAGCGAGCUUUCCCUCGCGCUCGCCUCUCAUUCCCAUCGGCGUCGUCGCCUCGUCAUCAGCAUCAGGCACACGGGCCGGAUCCACGUCGUCGCCUACGCCAGCGCGUCCUACCCCGUUCGCCUCCGUUCUCGUCGGCACCGUUGCCGGCACCUACAGCGAGCGCAUGGGCUGGAUCCGUGUCGCCGUGUGCUCCUGGCCGCCGGUAGGAGCGCGUCCGCUGGCGAUGGAAAUGGUCAUGCCACCAACGCCGCCUUGCAGGAGUGGGUCGAUGAGGAUGGAGUAGUAGGCGGCGGUGGGCGGCACGGCCUUGUAUAUUUUAAUGCGUGCAUGUGAGAGGGCCUUUGUACUGUAUAAUGCAAGGCGUUUAUGAAAGGUGCUUUAAAAAA